rnacentral:rRNA from 1 species
UACAGAGGGUGCGAGCGUUGUUCGGAUUUACUGGGCGUAAAGGGUGCGUAGGCGGUCGGGUAAGUCUGGUGUGAAAUCUUCGAGCUUAACUCGGAAACUGCAUUGGAUACUAUUCGGCUAGAGAGUUGGAGGGGGGAUUGGAAUACUUGGUGUAGCAGUGAAAUGCGUAGAUAUCAAGAGGAACACCUGAGGUGAAGACGGGUUGCUGGGCUGACACUGACGCUGAGUGCGCGAAAGCCAGGGGAGCAAACGGG